UACGAAGGGGGCUAGCGUUGUUCGGAAUUACUGGGCGUAAAGCGCACGUAGGCGGAAUGUUAAGUCAGGGAUGAAAUCCCGGGGCUCAACCCCGGAACUGCCUUUGAUACUGGCAUUCUCGAGUCCGGAAGAGGUGAGUGGAAUUCCGAGUGUAGAGGUGAAAUUCGUAGAUAUUAGGAAGAACACCGGUGGCGAAGGCGGCCAUCUGGCUCGGUACUGACGCUCAGGCGCGAAAGCGUGGGGAGCAAACAGG
rnacentral:rRNA from 1 species